UAAUAAAAAAUUUUUCGUUUC
rnacentral:piRNA from 1 species